AGAGUUUGAUUAUGGCUCAGGAUGAACGCUGGCGGCGUGCCUAACACAUGCAAGUCGAACGGAACUAUUUUGGAAAGUUCUUCGGAACUGGAAUCUUUAGUUUAGUGGCGGACGGGUGAGUAACGCGUGAGCAAUCUGCCUUUAAGAGGGGGAUAACAGUCGGAAACGGCUGCUAAUACCGCAUAAAGCAUCAAAUUCGCAUGUUUUUGAUGCCAAAGGAGCAAUCCGCUUUUAGAUGAGCUCGCGUCUGAUUAGCUGGUUGGCGGGGUAACGGCCCACCAAGGCGACGAUCAGUAGCCGGACUGAGAGGUUGAACGGCCACAUUGGGACUGAGACACGGCCCAG
rnacentral:rRNA from 1 species